GAGAAGUGGUAAGUGCAGUUACCUGCCGGAAGUACUCACACCUGUGAAGACUUCAAAGUGAAGACAUGAAGUGUUAAGUCGCUGUGUUGGUCAGGAAGCCAGGAUGCAGAGAAGCCUGGCUAACUUGGCAGUAAGAGGGAGGAUACAUGGGCUUAUUGUUCUUCCACCAUAGAACCCUGCCUGACUCACCAAGGAGAGGCUGCUUGAAUGCGGUGGUGACGCUUCAAAUGGGUUUUGGUGAGAAAAUGGUGGUAAUAAGUUGGCUCUUACCGGAGACAUCAACGGAUCUUGCGUCCUCUUGCAGCUGCUGUUCUUGGCUCCUCCAUGGCUUCCAUCAGAGACACUUGCGGUCAACACAGUCCUCCGACUUUCAGCGCUUCACUCUAACUUUCCUCCUCCACUAAUCUUUCAUCCUCGCUCAAAUUAAUGGGGAAAUCGUCGCUUUCUCGGUCCGAAUCGCUCUUGCUGCUGGUGGCUAUGAUUAUAAACAAUGUGAGGAUGUGAGGAGCCCGACAACCCGUGACGUCCCGCGCACACCGUCUGUUACAGGCAAGGGUUUUUUAUUAGCGACCAAAAGUUGCGAACUUUAUCGUCGAUGUUCUGUACUAAAUCCUUUCAGCAAAAAUAUGGCAAUAUGGCGAAAUGAUGAAGUAUGACACAUAGAAUGGAGCUGCUAUCCCCGUUUAAAUAAGAACAUCUCAUUUCAGUAGGACUUUAAGCUGUGACAGCAUGUGUGGUGAGUGUGUGGGCGAGCGAAGUGAGGGAGCAGUAGGUGAGUGUUGCGAGUGGUUAGUGUUUUGUUGGAUUGGCUGUGUGCCAGACCUCAAUAAAGCCACGAUUUGCAACUAAUCGCCGGACUCUUCAUUUACCUUUGAGUCUGGAGCUGUGGAGACCCACUGCCGGUUAGAGUGAAGGGUAUUGCCCCCGAGAAUACAUCGGCCCUGGAGGAGUGUCUCCCCUGCGUUCCUCGACUACGGUCUGGGAGCCGGAAGCAGGAAAGGUGCAACACAUGUUUGACUUGUUGCCAGAAGCAUUUGCUGAACAAUGUCGGCAAACCUCCGUCCUCCAUUGUUGUAUCGCGCAGCCAAAGUGUUUCCAAAUGGGAGAUCUUAACGAGGCAGGAGGGUGUUUCAGCUCUGGCUUUUACAUCUUGUCCUAGCCUGGUCGCUGCUAGCAUGUGUACUCGUUUGGUACACCUCCGAACUGAAACCCCCGUACCGAAAGGGUUUAAUACAAACACACGUACCGUUACACCCCUACAAACUUACUUUCCAAAGAAACCGGUGCGUCUGUAGGAGACAGGUAUGCGGUCUUUCGUGUCGAUAUUCAGCUCCUCUUCCGCAGCUCUCAGUUUCUCCUCAAAUUUGUCAAUGUUGGCGACCUGCAUCCGAUACAUGAGCGCGAUCCUCUAUACCCGAAAUGGAGGAAACGUUAGCCAUGAUAUCUCUCAGGUCGGUUGAUAUGAAAGUGUACAUACAGGCUUCCCGAAGAUGACUGCCCCGGGGUGCAGGUAGAUUUCCACGAUGUCGCUCUCAGGAACCACCAGGACACGGGACACCUCUCCCUUAGCCAGCAUCUCGUUGACGAAGUCAUUCCAAGAGAUGUUGCCGACGCUGGUGUUGAUGGAGUUUAUCAAGAGCAAGAAGAUGCCCACUAAUAGAAGGAUUCUCAGGCGCUCUCGGUGCAGCUGCUCCUUCUGCUCGCGAUGCUUCUUCUCCUCUGCGUAGGAAAAACAACAUUUUGAGAAGAUAGUUGACUGAAGCGCACAAACGUAGUGACUCAGGACAAUUUUAACUAAGGGUGUCCUGAUCCAAUAUUGAUAAACAAAAAACAAGUAUUGGAUGAUAUCGGUGUUCAUCUAAAAUCUUUGAUACAAGCAGUCCUGCUGAGUUUUGACUCGUGCAAAGCUGGACAGACAGUUUACAUCUAAAUGUCCAUCUUAUGUUGUAUUUUCCCUUUGUAUCAUUUUUGGUAAUGUAUGUAUUCUUUGCAUUUUUAUUUUGCAUGCUCCUAUAUCAGGGGUCAGGAACCUUUUCGGAUGAAAGAGCCAUGAAAGCCAAAUAUUUUAAAAUGUAUUUCCAUAACAUAUUUUUUAACACUGAAUACAACUAAAUGCGUGCAUUUUUUAAGUAAAACCAACAUUUUUAGAGUAUAGUAAGUCUCUAAUUAUUUUUAAUAACAAUGUUAUUUCUUGAACGGGUGCAGUAGAAAACAGAUGGAUGGAUUAAAAUGCAUGAAAAUGUUUUAUAUUUUGAACGUUAUUUU